CCGCGUUUUCCGCCGCGGCCUCCAGGCGGGACGUGGGAAGGACGCGCAUGUGAGGAAAGGGGGACCUCGGCCAGGCGGCGGCGCUCGGCCCGAGCUGGGGACCCGCGGGCCCGCGGGCGCGGAGGGGGCGGCCCGGGCGGUUGCCGGGGAGACGGCGGCCCGGGCCAAUGGGCGGGGGCCACGGCCGGCGGCCGGAGCGCUCACGGGGCGACGCUGCCCUCUGGUGGCGGCGGCGGGUAUGACAGCCGGGCUGCGCGCCCGGAGCCGGUGGGGCCCCGCGCAGGUCGGCGGCAGGGGCAUCCAGGUGAUUCGCACCUGCCGGGCGGCAGGGCCUACGCGGUCGCCGCGAGCUCCCCGCCAUCCUGCGCUCCGGGGAGGUUACUGUCUGCCGCAGUCGGCCUUGCCCGCAGCCCCGCUGGGCGGGGGGAGCGGGGUGGGGGAAUAGAAAGAGCUCGCGAAACGCCUUUCCUUGACCCGGCCUCAGGUCGGGGUCAUAAUCCGCAGAGUUCAGCGUGCAAACGCAGGCCUUGCUGAGCCCGCUCGUUCCAUAGAUUAUUUUGGGUUUAGAGACCCUAAAGUUGCAAAAUUGAAGGACCUUCAGCUUGGAAUAAUUAGAUAGCGCCACGCACCGUCCACCCGGAGGCUUGCAACCCAGCUGUACUAGGGCUGUCGCUCCAGCUGGGAGGUGCCUCCACCUGCAGGGGGCGGGGCGGGUGGAGGGGGAGCUGGAUUUCCCGAGCCCUAAGGGGGCCUGACCCACGUCACAGGGGUGGCCACCAAAGCUCCAGGCCUCAAGCAGGCUGACCGCUCACACCAUCACCCCCACCUGGCCCCAGUUGUGACAGCUGUCACUCUCCCGAACCCAUGGUGGCAGACCCGGCCAACCUGGCCUCUGUGUCCUGCACCAGACGAGACCUCAGGCCCCUUCUCAAGGCGGCUCCAGGAAGCCCUCUCGGGUGGGACGGCGAGCGGCUAGCCACUCCAUCCACACUGCAUUUCCCCUAACUCACUGCUUUUUUCGGAAGUUGCUUUUUUCCUCCCAAAGUAUCACGUGUCCCACCCAACAUUCAUUGCAUUUGUCCUUGCUGGCAAACUCCCACACCCGUCCCUCCAACCUGGCCCCACCGGGCCCUUGGAGACCCCACGGCCCUCCCGCCACCCGGGUAUCUUGGUCCUCAGCCCCCUAGGCAGUGUCCACCUCGCUCACCCGAAGACCCUGAGGCCCAGGAGAGUCCCACCUUCCACCCCCGCAUCCAGCUCGGACCCUCUGCCCCUCAGCCAGGAAGGCCCUGACUCAGGCCUGGGAACCUGCCCAGGGCCUCAAGUCACAGCCUGUUCGUUCCAGACAGACACCUGUUGUGGAUUCCGCACACGGAGCCCUGGAGACCCUGUUGUCCUCGCCGUGCACUCAGCCCAGCUCAGUGCCAUGAGGAGGCACGAGGACUGGCCCAUUGCGCAGAUGCAGAAACUGAAGCUCGCCUGGAGACUGCCAGCCCCGGACGGUGGGAGACCCCCCAGAAACCCUGCCUGUAUGGGAAGUUCCCCUUCGGACCCCAGCUCUGGAUCUGUACACACAAGCUGCUCCAGGACCCAGCCUGAGGUUGGGGUCACACCCCUUCCCACAGAGGUUUGCUCCUGGGAACCUGGAGUGUCCCGGCACCAGCUGGUUUGCUCCUGGGAACCUGGAGUGCACCGGGCACCAGCUGGAGUAUCACCCUUGAGACUCUAGUGAGUGACCCUAUCUUGGGGAGGGUGGGUAGGAGGGAGCGAGAGGGCAGAGGGAGGGUGGGGGAGGGAGGGCCGUCAACCUGGUGGCAACUUCAC
rnacentral:lncRNA from 12 species